rnacentral:sRNA from 1 species
ACUAUAAGGGACUCCCAUAUUUCUUGGCCCCUCCCAGCUAAUGGGCACAUAGGCCUUUUGAACUUUUCUUUUGAAAGUUGGUAUCCAUCCACUGGGAUUGUCGACAUCUCGAGUCUUCUUAAAGAGGUCUCCUGGCCGGGCUCAGUGGCUUACGCCUGUAAUCCCAGCACUUUGGGAGGCUGAGGAGAGCGGAUCACUUGAGGUGUGGGCUAAGCUGGUGGCCCCGGCUUUAGACUGGACCCCACAAUGUUUGCAGAGAUGUUCAGGCACGCGGGAGCUGAUUACACACAAUGAAUGGGGGCAAUGAGAGCAGUGGAGCAGACAGAGCUGGGGGCCCUGUGGCCACAUCUGUCCCCAUCGGCUGGCAGCGCUGUGUGCGAGAGGGUGCUGUGCUCUACAUCAGGAGGAUCUGUAACUUAAGCACUGUGCUUUAGGAGUAUUGCCUGAUUCACUGCCAGCUAACCCCAUGUCCUCUGACCCUGUCCUCUCGCAGUCCAAGUGGCACAGAGCUGUCUUCCUUGGAGCAAACCCGGAGCUA